CAAGUCCGACUUAGAUCAGAACAAAUACGAAAUUAAAUCCCAAUUAAAUCAUGAUCGAGCCCAAUUACACUAAUUUAGACCCAAUCAAAUCCAAUCUCAACAAUUGAGUCCUGAUCAAGUUCAAUUAUAUUAAUUAAAACUUGAUUGACCCAAAAUACAGACUUAAUUAGUUGUUCAUCCAUGAAAUUUAGCAUGUACCUCAUGUUCAGUGCUAGCUGAACAUAGACAGAGCCAAAUUCCAAAUGACCCAUAAUUUAAUUCUUAAUUAAAUUGGGUCAAGACCUUCCUACUUAGCUUGACUAAUGUGCGUGACUCCAAUAGGUUCGAACACUAAGCCGGUAGUACAUGGACUACUCCAUGCACUAAUCGAGGUGACCACCUAGCAAUGAUACCCAACGUCCGGAUAGGUCAAAUAUGCAAAGCAACAUUCAAGAACCUAGACGUAUGGUUGUUGCAUAAUUCAUCCCUAUGACCUUCGAUGCUCAAGAUGACCUCAGAGUGGAUUGUCGAACUCUGGGUCCGGUCAUUCAUAGUGUAUUUCAAUUAAUCAAAUCAAGUGACUUAUCACUUGGUUU
rnacentral:lncRNA from 1 species